GAAAUGCGAUACGUAAUGUGAAUUGCAGAAUUCAGUGAAUCAUCGAAUCUUUGAACGCAUAUUGCGCUCUUUGGUAUUCCGAAGAGCAUGCUUGUUUGAGUAUCAGUAAACACCUCAAAGCCUUUUUUCUUUUUUGAAGAAAGGCUUUGGACUUGAGCAAUCCCAACACCAAUCUUUUUAAAGAGAGGGGGCGGGUUGCUUGAAAUGCAGGUGCAGCUGGACAUUCUCCUGAGCUAAAAGCAUAUUCAUUUAGUCCCGUCAAACGGAUUAUUACUUUUGCUGCAGCUAACAUAAAGGGAGUUUGACCAUUUUGGCUGACUGAUGCAGGAUUUUCACAAGAGUCUUCAAAACCUCUUGUUAAACUCGAUCUCAAAUCAAGUAAGACUACCCGCUGAACUUA
rnacentral:misc_RNA from 1 species